rnacentral:rRNA from 1 species
GAUGAACGCUGACAGAAUGCUUAACACAUGCAAGUCGACUGGAAUUCACCUUCGGGUGAUAGUACGGUGGCGGACGGGUGAGUAACGCGUAAAGAACUUGCCCUCUAGACUGGGACAACUGUUGGAAACGACAGCUAAUACCGGAUAUUAUGGGAACCUCGCAUGGGGAACUCAUGAAAGCUAUAUGCGCUAGAGGAGAGCUUUGCGUGCCAUUAGCUAGUUGGUGGGGUAACGGCCCACCAAGGCGACGAUGGCUAGCCGGCCUGAGAGGGUGAUCGGCCACAAGGGGACUGAGACACGGCCCUUACUCCUACGGGAGGCAGCAGUGGGGAAUAUUGGACAAUGGGCGCAAGCCUGAUCCAGUCAUGCCACGUGAGUGAUGAAGGUCUUAGGAUUGUAAAACUCUUUUAGCAGGGAAAUAAUGAUGGUACCUGCAGAAAAAGUCUCGGCUAACUUCGUGCCAGCGCCGCGGUAAU